GAUAAUGUUUGUUAAUGAAAGAGAGUACGGGACAAAUUAACAUUUAAACCUUAAACUAGCAGCGCACGUCACUUUCUGAGUGAAGUGCGCGACGUGCGCGUGCCCGUCAUUUUGUAACGGUCAACUUCCAGCGGACGGACACGGAGGAAAGGGCCUGACAACCACCAGUUGAGUCCAUGAUCAGGGAAGAGACAGUCUGGGCAGCAGCAACAAGACAACUAUUACAAGUAGAGAUGGGUUUCAAGAACUGGUACUAAUUUGGUUCCUGACUUGUUCGACAGAACCACAUAUCCUCCAAAUCAUCUCUGCGUGGAUGGCAGCAAGGAUCCAGGAUCAAGAGAUCAUUCUUCAUGGAGACUGUUCCACAGGAAGCAGUUUCUACUGGGUCAUCCUGACCAUUCUGCUGUCCUGGAUGUAAGGCCGUGCAGGAACUACAUUUCUCGUUGUUGAAAGAUUUGUGCAGCGGUAUCCAGGCAUCAACGCCUCUCGUUUACUUUUAAAUGAAGUGACGUCAAGGAUGGUGAAAUUAAUUCUAGAAAUUAAUUCUAAAUAGAAGUUGAAGACUUCUCAAGCGCCAAUGCAGCCGUUCUCCAGUCAGAACAUCUUAUGCAAAUACCCUAGCGCAGACGCAAGCCAAUCAAGUGCAUGCAAUACCAGAAAACUAAUGUGAUUGGCUGUCACUAUGAGAAGAGACAGUAAUUCUGAUCCGAUAUCAGUGUCGUUUUUUGCUAAAAAAAAUUUAAAUCAAUGUAGAAUUUUCUAUACUUCUGUGUAGGGAUGUCAAUUUUCAAUCAUUUCCAUGAUCGAUCGUCGUUUAAAUUAAUGAUCAAAUAAUCGAUUAAUCGUUAACCUUAAUGCUGCAAAGUCUAUUGCAGUAACACCCAGUCACUGGUAUGACAGGAUGUGCAAAAGUGUGUGUGUGUAUAUAUGUGUGUGUGUGUAUAUAUAUAUAUAUAUAUAUAUAAAACUGUAAAAUAUAUAUUUUACAGUAAAGACCAAAAGUUUGGACACACCUUCUCAUUCAAAGAGUUUUCUUUAUUUUCAUGACUAUGAAAAUUGUAGAGUCACACUGAAGUCAUCAAGGGCUAUUUGAGCAAGAAGGAGAGUGAUGGGGUGCUGCGCCAGAUGACCUGGCCUCCACAGUCACCGGACCUGAACCCAAUCCAGAUGGUUUAGGGGUGAGCUGGACCGCAGACUGAAGGCAAAAGGGCCAACAUGUGCUAAGCAUCUCUCGGGGAACUCCUUCAAGACUGUUGAAGACCAUUUCAGGUGACUACCUCUUGAAGCUCAUCAAGAGAAUGCCAAGAGUGUGCAAAGCAGUAAUUAAAGCAAAAGGUGGCUACUUUGAAGAACCUACAAUAUGACAUAUUUUCAGUUGUUUCACACUUUUUUGUUAUGUAUAUAAUUCCAUAU